rnacentral:rRNA from 1 species
UACGUAGGGUGCAAGCGUUAAUCGGAAUUAUUGGGCGUAAAGGGUGCGCAGGCGGAUGUAUAAGUCAGAUGUGAAAUCCCCGGGCUUAACCUGGGAAUUGCGUUUGAAACUAUAUGACUAGAGUGUGGUAGAGGGGAGUGGAAUUCCAUGUGUAGCAGUGAAAUGCGUAGAGAUGUGGAAGAACACCGAUGGCGAAGGCAGCUCCCUGGAUUAACACUGACGCUCAUGCACGAAAGCGUGGGGAGCAAACAGGAUUAGAUACCCUGGUAGUCCACGCCCUAAACGAUGUCAACUAGUUGUCGGAUCUGUUAAAAGAUUUGGUAACGUAGCUAACGCGUGAAGUUGACCGCCUGGGAAGUACGGUCGCAAGAUUA